GACAGCAUGAAAUUAAAGACGGCAGUUGAAGGUGUGAUUCCCCUUUCCUGAACAGCAGAAAAGAAGGACAUCAUAGCUUUGUGACGUCCCCACCGAGCAUAAGCGCACAACAUGGUACCACAAGCAACUUCAUCAGGUUCACACCCCGCUUCAAGCAUUUCCAGAAAGGUCUGCUCAGCUAGUUUGAUUUUCCCAACUUGGCCAUAUGCACGGAGAAUAAUUGUAUAGACAAUGACACUUGGCCGGUAGCUUAACUGUAAUUUCAUCCAAGCGAAAAAAUCUCUAACUUGUCGCCAACCCCUUUGUUCUUUGAGCACAACACACAUCUCUCUAAAAGUAAGCUUCGUAACAAAAGAACCCAUCACUUCCCUCAUAUCAUAU
rnacentral:misc_RNA from 1 species